UUUGACACAAACACACUCAACACAAUUAGUCUCUGAUUGUAAAAUAUUAUUGGCUGAUAUGAAAAGUGACGAUAUAGAAAGCCAAAGAUUUACAGGAUUAUGUUUUAUUUGAUAUAUGUUCAUUUUUAAUGAAACUUAAUUUACUCUUCAUUUAAUUUCAUUAAACCAUACGACAUUGUGAAAAACAUUUUCACCAAACACAAAGCCAAACUCAGAUAAGAUUGACAUUCAAAAUAUCCUCAUCAAUAAUUUGAGUGAUUGAUCGAUUGAUAAGCAGCAUGAUGAGAGUAAUCCAAGUCCCUGUUGGAGUCAGUCAGAGCAUUUCCAUAGAGAGCCACUUUGCAUCAGCAGCACCAUGCUCCAGUGCUCUGGGAGAGUUUAUAGUCCUGAGAGUUGAACACUGGAUGACUGACAGCUGUCCUUCAUGACAACAGAAGACACAGAAAUCCUCCUCAUCAAAAACAUGACUUUGACCUGCGUCCUCAUCUGGACUCUCCUCUGCUGCUGCUUCACAGAGUCCAGAGGUCAGAUCACAGUGACUCAGCCUGGAGCAGUGAGCUCUGCUCUGGGAGGCUCCGUCACCAUCAACUGUAGGACCAGUCAGGAUGUUUAUUUUAAUGGCCAUUACCAUUUUUUAGCCUGGUACCAACAGAGAGAUGGAGAAACUCCUAAACUUCUCAUUUACACUGCUAGCACUCGAGCAUCAGGGACUCCAGGUCGUUUUACAGGCAGUGGAUCAAACUCUGCCUUCACUCUGACCAUCAGUGGAGUUCAGGCUGAAGAUGCAGCAGUUUACUACUGUCAGAGUCUUCAUUAUCCCAACAGUCAGUGGGUGUUCACACAGUGAAAAACCGUCGUACAAAAACCUCCCUCAGUCAGACUGAACAGAAACUGAACUGACUGCUGCAGCUGGAAGCUACUGCAGAGACUGAUACACUUCACUGAGGACACACACACACACACACACACACACA